UACGGAGGGUGCAAGCGUUAAUCGGAAUUACUGGGCGUAAAGGGUGCGUAGGUUGUAUAUUAAGUUAGCUGUAAAAUUCCUGGGCUUAACCUAGGGUGGUCAGCUAAGACUGGUAUGCUAGAGUAUAGGAGAGGGCAGUGGAAUUUCCGGUGUAGCGGUGAAAUGCGUAGAGAUCGGAAGGAACACCGGUGGCGAAGGCAGCUUCUUGGUCCAUUCCUGACGUUCAUACACGAAAGCGUGGGGAGCAAACAGG
rnacentral:rRNA from 1 species